AUCCAGAUCUGAUGACGUGGUCUA
rnacentral:siRNA from 1 species